GACGAACGCUGGCGGCGUGCUUAACACAUGCAAGUCGAACGAAGUGGCGAACGGGUGAGUAACGCGUAAUCAACCUGCCCUUCAGAGGGGGUCAACAGUUGGAAACGACUACUAAUACCGCAUACUGAAGGAGGGGUUUGCGUCUGAUUAGCUAGCUGGGGGGGUAACGGCCCACCAAGGCGAUGAGCAGUCGCUGGUGUGAGAGGCUGAACGGACACAUUGGGACAUGGACACGGCCCAGACUCCUACGGGAGGCAGAAGUGGGGAAUCUUCCGAAAUGGGGGAAAGACGGACGGAGAAACGCCGCGUGAGUGAUGACGGCCCUCGGGUUGUAAAGCUCUGUUAAUCGGGACGCGGUACCGGAAGAGAAAGCCACGGCUAACUACGUGCCAGCAGCCGCGGUAAUAC
rnacentral:rRNA from 1 species